UACAGAGGGUGCGAGCGUUAAUCGGAAUUACUGGGCGUAAAGCGCGCGUAGGCGGCUUUUCAAGUCGAUUGUGAAAUCCCCGGGCUUAACCGGGGAACUGCAUCUGAUACUGGAUGGCUUGAGUUCGGGAGAGGGAUGCGGAAUUCCAGGUGUAGCGGUGAAAUGCGUAGAUAUCUGGAGGAACACCGGUGGCGAAGGCGGCAUCCUGGACCGACACUGACGCUGAGGAGCGAAAGCCAGGGGAGCAAACGGG
rnacentral:rRNA from 1 species